AGGGUUCGAUUAUGGCUCAGGAUGAACGCUGGCGGCGUGCUUAACACAUGCAAGUCGAACGAACCUUCGGGUUAGUGGCGGACGGGUGAGUAACGCGUGAGAAUCUGCCCUCAGGAGGGGGAUAACGGCUGGAAACGGCCGCUAAUACCCCAUAUGCCGAGAGGUGAAAUGAAUUUCGCCUGAGGAUGAGCUCGCGUCUGAUUAGCUUGUUGGUGGGGUAAUGGCCUACCAAGGCGACGAUCAGUAGCUGGUCUGAGAGGAUGAUCAGCCACACUGGGACUGAGACACGGCCCAGACUCCUACGGGAGGCAGCAGUGGGGAAUUUUCCGCAAUGGGCGAAAGCCUGACGGAGCAACGCCGCGUGAGGGAUGAAGGCCUCUGGGCUGUAAACCUCUUUUAUCAAGGAAGAAGAUCUGACGGUACUUGAUGAAUAAGCCACGGCUAAUUCCGUGCCAGCAGCCGCGGUAAUACGGGAGUGGCAAGCGUUAUCCGGAAUUAUUGGGCGUAAAGCGUCCGCAGGCGGCCUGACAAGUCUGCUGUUAAAGCGUGGAGCUUAACUCCAUUUCAGCAGUGGAAACUGUCAGGCUUGAGUGUGGUAGGGGCAGAGGGAAUUCCCGGUGUAGCGGUGAAGUGCGUAGAUAUCGGGAAGAACACCAGUGGCGAAAGCGCUCUGCUGGGCCAUCACUGACGCUCAUGGACGAAAGCCAGGGGAGCGAAAGGGAUUAGAUACCCCUGUAGUCCUGGCCGUAAACGAUGAACACUAGGUGUCGGGGGAAUCGACCCCUCCGGUGUCGUAGCCAACGCGUUAAGUGUUCCGCCUGGGGAGUACGCACGCAAGUGUGAAACUCAAAGGAAUUGACGGGGGCCCGCACAAGCGGUGGAGUAUGUGGUUUAAUUCGAUGCAACGCGAAGAACCUUACCAGGGCUUGACAUCCUGCGAACCUCUGGGAAACCGGAGGGUGCCUUCGGGAACGCAGUGACAGGUGGUGCAUGGCUGUCGUCAGCUCGUGUCGUGAGAUGUUGGGUUAAGUCCCGCAACGAGCGCAACCCACGUCUUUAGUUGCCAACAUUUAGUUGGGCACUCUAGAGAGACCGCCGGUGACAAACCGGAGGAAGGUGUGGAUGACGUCAAGUCAUCACGCCCCUUACGUCCUGGGCUACACACGUACUACAAUGCUACGGACAAAGAGCAGCUAACUCGCGAGAGUACGCAAAUCUCAUAAACCGUGGCUCAGUUCAGAUCGUAGGCUGCAACUCGCCUACGUGAAGGAGGAAUCGCUAGUAAUCGCAGGUCAGCAUACUGCGGUGAAUACGUUCCCGGGCCUUGUACACACCGCCCGUCACACCAUGGAAGUUGGCCACGCCCGAAGUCGUUACUCCAACCCUCUGGGAGGAGGACGCCGAAGGUGGGGCUGAUGACUGGGGUGAAGUCGUAACAAGGUAACC
rnacentral:rRNA from 1 species